CCUCUGACGUUAGCGGCGGACGGGUGAGUAACACGUGGAUAACCUACCUAUAAGACUGGGAUAACUUCGGGAAACCGGAGCUAAUACCGGAUAAUAUAUUGAACCGCAUGGUUCAAUAGUGAAAGACGGUUUUGCUGUCACUUAUAGAUGGAUCCGCGCCGCAUUAGCUAGUUGGUAAGGUAACGGCUUACCAAGGCAACGAUGCGUAGCCGACCUGAGAGGGUGAUCGGCCACACUGGAACUGAGACACGGUCCAGACUCCUACGGGAGGCAGCAGUAGGGAAUCUUCCGCAAUGGGCGAAAGCUUGACGGAGCAACGCCGCGUGAGUGAUGAAGGUCUUCGGAUCGUAAAACUCUGUUAUUAGGGAAGAACAAAUGUGUAAGUAACUAUGCACGUCUUGACGGUACCUAAUCAGAAAGCCACGGCUAACUACGUGCCAGCAGCCGCGGUAAUACGUAGGUGGCAAGCGUUAUCCGGAAUUAUUGGGCGUAAAGCGCGCGUAGGCGGUUUUUUAAGUCUGAUGUGAAAGCCCACGGCUCAACCGUGGAGGGUCAUUGGAAACUGGAAAACUUGAGUGCAGAAGAGGAAAGUGGAAUUCCAUGUGUAGCGGUGAAAUGCGCAGAGAUAUGGAGGAACACCAGUGGCGAAGGCGACUUUCUGGUCUGUAACUGACGCUGAUGUGCGAAAGCGUGGGGAUCAAACAGGAUUAGAUANCCUGGUAGUCCACGCCGUAAACGAUGAGUGCUAAGUGUUAGGGGGUUUCCGCCCCUUA
rnacentral:rRNA from 1 species